rnacentral:lncRNA from 1 species
GCAACGCCGUAAUCGGCCAUUUUAGUUCCCAUUAUUUUUUCCCUGUGUAAAUUUCCAUAAGGAAUCGGGGUACCUUUAGUUUUAAUUCAUUAUUUAAUUAUUGGUUUCUUACAGCCAAUUUAUUUUUCAUCGAUCGUGUUCCCCGAUGAAUUGGUUGUUUUGAUUCUGGUAUGUCAAAACAGACAUGUUAUGUGCUUGGCUGCGGUGCUGUAACUUUUGCUUCCCAAAAGUGAAUGUUAAUGGACAUCUAGAAUAUGGGGUUUCUAAAAGUAGGAGACAGGUAUAUGGCUGCUGAAAAGAACAAAUUUGAGAGAAAAAGGUUUAUAAAAAUAUACAGCAGAGUAUGUAGUCAACAUUUUACUUCUGGUAACAUAGUAAAUUUUUUAAAGUAAUUCAUAUUAUUGAGUCGUGUUGGAAAUAUUUAUGUGAAAUAAUUAACUAAGUAACAUGUUUUUAACUGCACCAACACAUAAUAAUGAGCAAAAUUCCAUUGAGAUUGCUACUGUUGAAAGAAUUAGUCGCUCUCUAAGAAGGCAGGUUGCUGGGACAUGUUCAACGAUGUAAGAGGAUGACACACAUUCCACAAGACGUAGUUACUGAUUUCAUGAAAGAUACAACUGUACCUGAGGGUACAAUGCAGAACACGUUUGAUGAACACAUCAACACAUUGGUGAAUCAAGUAACAAUCAGAAUCCAUCUACCUGCAAAACAGUCAUUGGUUCUUCGAAUAAAAAGUAUUGAAAAAUGAGAAAUAAUUACUAGUUGAAGCAGUGUCACGUCACGUCUUCAGUAUUUUUAUUAAAAACUUUAUUUCAUGUUUAAUACAAUGUUUCACUCGAAAAAAGAA